ensembl:ncRNA F07B7.16 ncRNA
AACUCACAAAAAUACAUGACAAUGCUUUAAGUCCAUCUCCAAGUGUGCAGUUGUGAUCCUUGCU